GUGCUUGCUUCGGCAGCACAUAUACUAAAAUUGAAACGAUACAGAGAAGAUUAGCAUGGCCUCUGUGCAAGGAUGACAUGCAAAUUCAUGAAUCGUUCCAUAUUUUU
ensembl:snRNA U6 U6 spliceosomal RNA